AUAUAUAUAUAUAUAUAUAUAAUUUAAUAUAUUAUCCAUCAAAUAAUCCUAAAAAAAAGUUUCAUGAUUUCCACAAAAAAACAUUAAAAUUGCAAAUCUUCCACAGGUAGAACAUAUGCUGGUGGGCUUUCUUACACACAGCAUCCACAUGAGCCUCAAAGGUCAACUUUUUGUCCAUUACUUACAGAACCAAGGUAUUUAAAAUGUACAACCUCAACAACAUGAUCAUUAAUGACCACUACAGAGACCACUGUAGGAUUCCUCCUAAAAUCUAUAAUCAUCUCUUUAGUGUUAAGUACAGUAAUGUCCAGAAAGGACAAUUUACACCAAUCAAUCAAAUCUGUCAGUACAGGACCAUGAUCAAGAUCUUCACUACUUAAAAGGGAAACCAUCACUGAAUCACCUCUCUAGUUGCGUUUGACACUCAUUAGUAUAAAGCACAAAUAAAAGAGGUGAAAGAACGCAGAUGUUUACUUGAGCAGAAAAUCAGCAUAUUAGAAUGAGUUCGUAAAGGAUCAUGUGACACCGAAGACUAGAGAAAUGAAUGCUGAAAAUUCAGCUUAGCCAUAACAGGAAUGAAUUCCAUUUAAAAUAAAAUAGAAAUAUUUCAAAUUAAUUUCACAAUGUUCCUGUUUUACCAUAUUUUGGAUCAAGUAAAUGAAGCAUAAUUGACAAAAAAUAUGUAAAAUUUUUUACAGACCCCAAAACUUUUGAACGAUAUUGUACAUCCAUAAAGUAACAACAUAGUUAGCACAUUACACAAAGAUAUAAACCAUCCUUGCAUCUCACGGUUAAUUCAUCUGCUUGUCUCAUAUUUUAUGACUGUGUUUCCUGGCAAAGGUGGCUUAGACGAGCUUAAGUCCCACCUAUUGUCCUCUUGUAUCAUGAAUUAUAUGAUCAGUUGUCAUGAUGAAACAGCUCACACUGCAACAGGUUUGCUGCUUUCGUUCAGAGAACUUUCCACAGAAGGUGAUAUAGUGUGUGUGUGUAUUUGGUACAUUCAGGAUUUCCAUGAUUGGUGUUUGUGGGUCACUGUUAUCAAGGUGAAGUUCUCCAGUGUCUUAAUCACAUGAAUCAUCUCUCUCUGCCAAUGCAGUCUUAUUGGACUGUUGAUGUUUACCGUUUCUUAAGUUCAUCUACUAGUCAAAAAAAAGAGACUCCCACGGGGUCAGGGGCAAUCCUGUUAUCUCAUAGACUGGCAGAACAGCUCCAAAAAUCGACUAAAGGGAGCAGGGGUUCAGUUGUUGUUCCUCCUAUGGUGCCAAUCGGGUGGCAUUGCACUAUGACAUACUUAUAAUGUGUGAGCAGUGUUCUGGAGUUAUGUCCCCAACAGGGAUGCAGAUGUCAUUCACUUUUUCAGACUAUUUGAGGAGAUGUCUGACUCGGAUCUCUUUGAUUCCAGGAAGGUUGUUAAUAUGUAACACUUGACAAACCCAAACCAGACAUGCUCAGACUAGAAAUCUUCACCUUGAUCUUGUGUGUAGGUGGGAAAGUUAGUAAUGGUGUGGUUGUCGCUGUGGGGUAACGAUGACACCAAGGCUGGGAGGAACUCUGGGACCUUUGGUUCCCCUAUCGGACCUGCCCUUCAGUUGAACAAUGAACUAGCAGCAUUCCUGCCGCUCCAGACGCCGCUGUGCGGACAGCUCUGAAAGUGGUGGCAUUGUUAGGUCAGACAAAGCCCUUUAUCAAAGGCACUGCUUCUGUGCACCAGGGUCAAAGCAGGCCACCGUACAACCCCACUGCCUGCCAGAGCUGAAAGUGGAUUGAGAAGGUAACGGCAGGUGAAGGGCAUGUCAGGUUAUCCUUAGACAGGACAGGUAGCAUGGUAAGAUUUGGUUGAGGAUGUAUGUAAAGAUUGUCAUGAUGGUCCUGCUGAAUUCCUUUAAUACAGAAUUUUGUUUAAAAAAAUAAAA